rnacentral:lncRNA from 1 species
GCGGGGGAGUAGAGGUGUGUAACGCUACCUGAGUGAGGGAGCGAUUGAGGUGUGUACGUACUGAGUGAGGGAGGAGUUGAGGUGUGUAACGUACCUGAGUGAGGGAGAAAGUUGUGUGGUGUGUAACGUACCUGAGUGAGGGAGGCGUUGUGUGGUGUGUAACGUACCUGAGUGAGGGAGGAGUUGUUUGGCUGUGUAACGACCUGAGUGAGGGAGGAGUUGUGUGGUGUGUAACGUACCUGAGUGAGGGAGGAGUGUGUGGUGUGCGGCGGUGGUUCUGUUUAAUCAGCUGGACAGUACUCUGUCUGGAGCUCUGGUGCGUUCCACACACUGCAAUGCAUUCUGGGCCAGGGACAUGUGGUAGUCCAGGAGGAGACCCACCGUCACGUUGAUGUAACAGCUGACAGGACUGAAGAAAGGAAGGCUGAAAGAGGGAAGGUUUUAC